CCUUCCCUUCCCUUCCCUUCCCCCUGCACGGACCAAGGCUGAGCAGUGCUGUCCAUUCACAUUCACUUUCCCUCUUACAGCUCCCUGUGGGCACACAGCCCAGUUCCCAGUCUCGCCCUUAAUUAAAAUAUUUCAAAUUGGAAAGGUUACAUAUGCCAUAUCAAAAUAAUUCUGUGUAAGAAGAAAGAUGUGAUGUUAAAGGCACAUUCUGAAAGGCUAAAGUGGUUAUCAGCUGCUUAUUUUUGCUUCUUUUCCUUAUCUGGCAUCUCUUUUCCAGCUAAAGAAGACCUGGAAGAUUUUGUAACAAGGUUAAAGGGCAUUUUUAGUUCAUGUUUGAAAAUGUUUUAACUGGAAGGCUGUAAGCAGGUAAACUCACAGGCACCAGCAAAGCAUCAGUGAUAAUCUCUUACCAACGAAGUUUUUCAUCUGACACAGUGUUUUAUCUUUUCGCUUGUGUCAGACAGAACUAAUUGAACGCAAAGCCAGUUGUAAAGAUACUGAGCAAAACUGUUUGUUACAAAGUCAUUCCUAUUCCUUCAGCUGUAGGCAGAGAAGCUUCACAUCCACACAUCCACACCACGUGUGGCACAGGAAGCCCACUCUUGGGAAGGUGAGACCGAGGGGAGAGAAUUGAAGAGAGGGAGAGGAGAAAAGAAAAAGAGAAGAAGAAAAGAGAAGAGGAAAAUAGAGGAGAAGAACACAACUCCCAGCCAAAUGAGAACUGAUGGGAUGAGAUAUGGGAUGGCAAGAAGGUGGCCUCAGUCACCUUCUGCUAAAAUCUAUGUAGGUCUUGGACCUGCCCUGUUCACCCCCACUGCCUGCUCCUCAGCCUUGGGCCACCAGCCUCAGCAACCCUGCCCAGCUGCCUAAUGCUGCCCUUCCCCAGUGGGACCAGGAAGGAGUAUUUGGCAAAGGUGUCCUCUGAAAGUCAAGCCAACAUUGUCCCAGUGGAACCCUCCAACUGUGCCCGGGAGGUCAACACUCACCCUCUGCUGAGUUCAGAUGUUCCAAAAAGCUCACGGGGGAAAAAAGUCACCCCUGAUGCUCCAAGGAAGAGAUUACUUGGAGGUUAGGGGAUUAACCCUAAUGCUAACCCUCAGAAAUAAAUUUUCUCUAUCUCAA